GAUGAACGCUGGCGGCGUGCCUAACACAUGCAAGUCGAACGGAGUCCAGCCUUAGAGACCUUCGGGUCAAAGAGGGGAAGACUGAGUGGCGGACGGGUGAGUAACACGUGGGCAACCUGGCUCAUAGAGGGGGAUAACAGAGAGAAAUUUCUGCUAAUACCGCAUAAGCACACACUGCCGCAUGGCAGAGUGUGAAAAGUGAAUCGCUAUGAGAUGGACCCGCGUCUGAUUAGCCAGUUGGCAGGGUAAGAGCCUACCAAAGCGACGAUCAGUAGCCGAGUUGAGAGGAUGAGCGGCCACAUUGGGGGUGAGACACGGCCCAAACUCCUACGGGAGGCAGCAGUGGGGGAUAUUGCACAAUGGGGGGAACCCUGAUGCAGCGACGCUGCGUGAGUGAAGAAGUAUUUCGGUAUGUAAAGCUCUAUCAGCAGGGAAGAUAAUGACAGUACCUGAAGAAGAAGCCCCGGCUAACUACGUG
rnacentral:rRNA from 1 species